rnacentral:rRNA from 1 species
GAUGAACGCUGGCGGCGUGCCUAACACAUGCCAGUCGAACGGUGAAGGCGGAGCUUCCUCUUCUGGAUCAGUGGCGAACGGGGGAGUAACACGUGAGCAAGCGGCCCCUGACUCGGGGAUAAGCGCUGGAAACGGCGUCUAAUACUGGAUACGAGCUGCGGAGGCAUCUUCUGCAGCUGCAAAGGAGCUCGGUCCGGAUUGGGCUGGCGGCCUGUCAGUUUGUUGGUGAGGUAAUGGCGCACCAAGGCGUCGACGGGUAGCCGGCCUGAGAGGGUGACCGGCCAAACUGGGACUGAGAUACGGCCCAGACUCCUACGGGAGGCAGCGGUGGGGAAUAGUGCACAAUGGGCGAAAGCCUGAUGCAGCAGCGCCGCGUGGGGGACGACGGCCCUCGGGUUGUAAACCUCUUUUCGCAGGGAAGAAGCGAAAGUGACGGUACCUGCAGAAAAAGCGCCGGCUAACUACGUG